UUUAAAGGAUGGAAUUUCCUCUAAGGAUGGUAGAUUGUAGUAUUUGAUACACAUAUCUUGAAAUUUAUUUGUUUGUUCUAUUAUUUUUAUUUCUAUUUAAUUUUCUUUACUAAUUAAAUUAAAUUAUUUAUUUAUCUAUUUAUUAUUUGUUUGUUUGUGUGUGUGCGCACAAGAUACCUUGGGCAAGGAUCAUUGAAUCAUUACAUAAAAUGAAGUUCAAUAUUUUAAAGUGUUAUCAAAAUGGUAAAUGGAAUUGGCAUGAUUUUCAAAGUGAAUGGUAAAGAUGAACAUGGUCAAGAUUAGGUCUACAUCCUUGAUUAUUGACAAUCAUAGGAGAUUGUAAGAUUGAUUUCGAAGAUAGGGGUUGAUGAAUGAGCCUAGUAGGAAUUAUGUCUAGAUUAAAGAUUUGAGAAGAGAUCAUAGGAUGAUAUGAUUUGAGUUUUGAUUUAAUUAAGUUUAAGAUAUGUGUUAAUAGAAAGAUUUGAAUCAAUUAGGCUUUAUGAGGAGAUUUGAUGGAGAAGUGGUUGGUGAAUUUGUGAGCCUAUACUAGAGAGUGAAUAGCUUAAGCUGAAACACACAUAUAUAUGUAGAGAGAGAGAGGCAAAAUUGGAGAAGCGUAAAGAAAGAAAGGAAGAGUCAAGAAUUUUAGAGGAUUUUCCAAAACUUCAAAGCAGGAGGUAUCACUAAGGUUUUGGUCACCACAAGGAAAGACCAGCUUGAAGUUAAUUCUAGCAAUUACACAGACCGACGGCCUUGUAUGUUUAGUCAAAUGAAAAAAUAGUUAGAGUUGUAAUAUAUGUGUAUUAGUGGAGAACUUUGAGCCCAGAUAGGCAGUUUUGGUGGGGAUGGCUGGUUGAAAACUUUUUUUUUGUUUUCAGUGCUAAUAUGCUAUAUAACAUAGAAUAGUUUUCACCUUUUCCAGAAGCUGAAGGGAUGUAUGAUACAAUUCAUUGAGGAACUUUGGUGAGGAAGAAGUGAGCCUUCUUUAAGCCGUACUCUCUUCGUAUCUUUUUUGUAAUAUUCAAACCUAGCUGUUAUAAAACUAGAAGUAAGAAAGACAUGUUUCUUUCUUUCUUUAUGUAUUUAAAUUUAUAUGUAGUUUGUGUUGUUUGUA